AGAACGAACGCUGGCGGCAUGCCUAAUACAUGCAAGUCGAACGAACUCUUCGGAGUUAGUGGCGCACGGGUGCGUAACGCGUGGGAAUCUGCCCUUGGGUUCGGAAUAACAGUUGGAACCGACUGCUAAUACCGGAUGAUGACGAAAGUCCAAAGAUUUAUCGCCCAGGGAUGAGCCCGCGUAGGAUUAGCUAGUUGGUGAGGUAAAGGCUCACCAAGGCGACGAUCCUUAGCUGGUCUGAGAGGAUGAUCAGCCACACUGGGACUGAGACACGGCCCAGACUCCUACGGGAGGCAGCAGUAGGGAAUAUUGGACAAUGGGCGAAAGCCUGAUCCAGCAAUGCCGCGUGAGUGAUGAAGGCCUUAGGUUGUAAAGCUCUUUACCCGAGAUGAUAAUGACAGUAUCGGGAGAAUAAGCCCGGCUAACUCCGUGCCAGCAGCCGC
rnacentral:rRNA from 1 species